UACGUAGGGUGCGAGCGUUAAUCGGAAUUACUGGGCGUAAAGCGUGCGUAGACGGUAGCGUAAGUCGGGUGUGAAAGCCCCGGGCUCAACCUGGGAAUUGCAUUCGAGACUGCUCUGCUAGGGUGCGGAAGAGGGAAGCGGAAUUUCCAGUGUAGCGGUGAAAUGCGUAGAUAUCGGAAGGAACACCAGUGGCGAAAGCGGCUUCCUGGUCCAGCACCGACGUUCAGGCACGAAAGCGUGGGGAGCAAACAGG
rnacentral:rRNA from 1 species